rnacentral:rRNA from 1 species
ACGAACGUUGGCGGCGUGCUUAAUACAUGCCAGUCAACUGAAGCAGUGGUAGCAAUAUCGCUGUGGAGGUGGCGCACGGGUGAGUAACACGUAGGUAAUCUGCCUUCAGGUCUGGCAUAACUCCGGGAAACCGGGGCUAAUAGCAGAUGAUGCAGCGGCUCGACAUCGAGACAGUUGUUAAAGCUAUGGCGCCUGAAGAUGAGCCUGCGUCUGAUUAGCUAGUUGGCGGGGUAACGGCCCACCAAGGCAACGAUCAGUAGCUGGUCUGAGAGGAUGAUCAGCCACACUGGAACUGAGACACGGACCAGACUCCUACGGGAGGCAGCAGUAAGGAAUAUUGCUCAAUGGGAGAAAUCCUGAAGCAGCAACGCCGCGUGAGGGACGAAGGGCUUUUGCUUGUAAACCUCUGUAGUGAGAGAAAAAAAUCCCAAUCUUUGGGACAUGAUGGUAUCUCAAAAGUAAGCCCCGGCUAACUACGUG